AUUGAACGCUGGCGGCAUGCUUUACACAUGCAAGUCGAACGGAAGCGGGGUAGUGUUUGUACUAGUGCGGGCGAGUGGCGCAUGGGUGAGAAAUAUAUAGGACCGUCCUGAGUUAUGGGGGAUAACAAAUCGAAAGAUAGGUUAACACCGAAUAUCUCCUGAGGCAGAAUGUGGGGGAUCGAAAGACGUCGCGUCAUUCGAGUGGCCGAGCAUUGAUUAGCUAGUUGGUGGGGUAAAGGCCUACCAAGGCGACGAUCAGUAGCGGAUCUGAGAGGACGAUGCGCCACACUGGAACUGAGACACGGCCCAUACUCCUACGGGAGGCAGCAGUGGGGAAUUUUAGGCAAUGGGGGCAACCCUGACCCAGCCAUGCCACGUGUGUGAAGAAGGCCUUCGGGUUGUAAAGUACUUUUUUUAGGGAAGAAAAGAUAUGUACUAAUACCACUAUUUACUGACGGUACCUAAUAAAUAAGCACCGGCUAACUACGUG
rnacentral:rRNA from 1 species